CGGCGAUUGGUGGGAUAAAGGGUAAAAGCAAGUAAUGAGAGGUAGAGACGCAGAAUUCUUUUGCGGCCAAACAUGAAUUCCCCAUUCCCCAACACUGUUGAUAUUCUUCACUCUUCAAAGCUCGUAUCUAGCUCUAAAGCCCUCUUCGGCUAUUUCCCGCCAUUUUUCUCUCGAUUUUCUUAUCGUAAACGCGUUCCGAGGACCAGAUUACGGUAUAGCAAGCCUUGCACUAGUCACAGGACGAUUAGAAUAACUGCUUACAAAGCUUCGGAUUCAACUUCCAGUCUUACUGUAACCCAGAAUGAGGAAGAAGAAGAUGCUGAGUCCGUUAAGCUAUUCGAGAAACUGAAGGAGGCUGAAAGGAAAAGAAUAAAUGACUUGGAAGAAUUUGAGAACAAGGCUAAUGUGCAGUUAGAGAGGCAGCUUGUUAUGGCUUCAUCUUGGAGCAGAGCUUUAUUGACUAUGCGUGGCAAACUAAAGGGUACUGAGUGGGACCCAGAGACCUCACACAGGAUAGACUUCAGUGAUUUUCUGAGACUACUUGAUUCAAAUAAUGUCCAGUUUAUAGAGUACUCAAAUUAUGGGCAAAACUUAUCAGUGAUUCUACCGUAUUAUAAGAAUGGCAAUUCAUCAGGAACUGAAGCGGAUCCUAAGGAUAUUGUGUUUCGGCGUCAUGUAGUUGACCGAAUGCCAAUAGAUUGCUGGAAUGAUGUUUGGAGAAAGCUGCAUCAACAAGUUGUUAAUGUUGAUGUUAUUAAUGUGGAUGCUGUACCUGCAGAAAUAUACUCAACCAUUGCAACCGCAGUCAUAUGGUCUAUGCGGCUUGCUCUAGCUGUUGGUUUUUAUGUAUGGAUUGAUAAUUUGAUGAGACCAAUAUAUGCAAAGUUGAUACCUUGUGAUUUGGGAAAUCCUAGUCCACAAGCUAGGCAGCCACUUGAGCUACGUACACUAGGAUCACUAGGCAAGAGCCGGGCUAAAUUUAUAUCUGCAGAAGAAAGAACUGGUGUUACAUUUGAAGAUUUUGCUGGCCAGGAAUAUAUAAAAAGGGAACUACAAGAGAUUGUCCGAAUUUUAAAGAAUGAAGAGGAGUUUCAAGACAAAGGAAUUUAUUGUCCAAAAGGUGUGCUUCUCCACGGGCCUCCUGGAACUGGCAAAACAUUGCUGGCUAAGGCUAUUGCCGGUGAAGCAGGGCUGCCUUUUUUUGCAGCAAAUGGCACUGAUUUUGUAGAGAUGUUUGUAGGGGUUGCUGCAUCACGUGUUAAAGACCUUUUUAACAAUGCCAGAUCAUUUGCACCUUCGAUCAUUUUUAUUGAUGAGAUAGAUGCUAUUGGGAGCAAGCGGGGAGGACCAGAUAUUGGCGGAGGUGGGGCGGAAAGAGAACAAGGCUUACUUCAAAUUCUGACUGAGAUGGAUGGAUUUAAAGUUUCUACGGAACAGGUGCUUGUAAUUGGUGCAACAAAUAGAUUGGAUAUUCUUGAUCCUGCUCUCCUGAGGAAGGGUCGUUUUGAUAAGAUUAUCAGAGUUGGCUUACCAUCUAAAGAUGGAAGAUUGGCCAUUUUAAAGGUGCAUGCCAGAAAUAAAUUUUUCCGUUCAGAAGAGGAAAAGGAGAUACUACUAAACGAAGUUGCUGAGCUCAGUGAAGAUUUUACUGGGGCAGAGCUACAAAAUAUAUUGAAUGAAGCUGGAAUUUUGACAGCCAGGAAGGAUUUGGAUUACAUUGGACGGGAAGAGCUACUUGAGGCUUUAAAGAGGCAAAAAGGAACAUUUGAAACUGGGCAAGAGGAUAGUGCUGAAGUUCCUGAAGAAUUGAGACUGAGAUUGGCUUACAGGGAAGCAGCUGUUGCUGUUCUUGCAUGUUACUUUCCUGAACCCCACCGUCCUUUCGUUGAGACCAACAUAAAUUCCAUCAGCAGCCAACCAAAUAUGCAGUAUGUGGAAGCUCCUGGAAAGGUUUUUGCAAGGAAAUCAGAUUACAUAAAUUCUAUAGUGCGUGCUUGUGCCCCAAGAGUAAUUGAGGAGGAGAUGUUUGGGAUUGACAACUUGUGCUGGAUCUCUACAAAUGCAACGCUGAAAGCUUCAAGGCUUGCUGAAUUUUUAAUUCUGCAGACGGGAAUGACUGCAUUUGGGAAAGCAUUCUACAGAAAUGAACGUGAUCUUGUGCCUAAUUUAACAAUGAAGCUUGAAGCACUCCGAGAUGAGUAUAUGCGUUAUGCUGUGGAGAUAUGUUCAUCAGUGCUACGAGAGCACCAUUCAGCUGUUGAGACAAUCACAGAUAUUUUGCUUGAAAAGGGACAAAUUAAUGCUGAGGAAAUCUGGGAAAUUUAUAGGAGAGCUCCUCGUGUAGCUCAGCCUAAUGUAAGUCCAGUCGAUGAAUAUGGAGCACUUAUUUAUGCUGGACGAUGGGGAAUCCAUGGUAUCUCUCGUCCAGGGAGGGUUACAUUUGCACCAGGCAACGUUGGGUUUUCAACUUUUGGGGCACCCCGGCCGACAGAGACCCAAAUUGUCAGUGAUGAAACUUGGAAACUGGUAGAUGAUAUCUGGGAUAAGAGGGUACAGGAAAUUAAAGAUGAAGCUUCAAAGGAGGUUCAAGAAGACGAAGAAAAACCACAACUUUUGAUGGCAAGCCAUUUCCUUUGAGAGAAUUUGUCUCCCGCGGCUUCAGGUUCAUGGGCAUCUAUCUUAUCACAUUUUGCAUUUUGAGCUCAUAGGGCUUACUUCAGAGGGAACAAGGUUCAUAGCGGUUGCAGAAUCUCAUUAAAUUUUGUCGGAGGUAGUAUUGACGUUUGACAUUGAGCCACAAAAGAGGCACUGAGGCUUCCAGUUUGAGCCCGAGCAAAUUGCAAGUCUAUGGAAGAGUUGUGACUAUUCAAAUAGUUCUAUUGGUCUUUAACUUGAGAAAUCAAAUUUCUCAUAGGGAUACGUCAUUGGGUAUCUCCAACAAAAGCAUCAGAAUAAUUCUACAGGAAUAAUUUGUUUUUAUUAUAGAUGUACCAUGACCACAUGAGUUUCUAUUGUAUUCUUAGUCUUCUAUAGCAAAAUUUUCAAGGAAUCCCAUUGCUGUAAAUUAAUUUCUGUUGUAUACUCCUUGACGAUGAUGGCAGGGUUCUUUUAUCA